GGCGCUGUGGCUUAGUUGGUGAAAGCGCCUGUCUCUAGUAAACAGGAGAUCCUGGGUUCGAAUCCCAGCAGUGCCU